rnacentral:rRNA from 1 species
UACGUAGGGUGCGAGCGUUGUCCGGAAUUACUGGGCGUAAAGAGCUCGUAGGUGGUUUGUCGCGUUGUCCGUGAAAACUCACAACUCAAUUGUGGGCGUGCGGGCGAUACGGGCAGACUGGAGUACUGCAGGGGAGACUGGAAUUCCUGGUGUAGCGGUGGAAUGCGCAGAUAUCAGGAGGAACACCGGUGGCGAAGGCGGUGGUCUGGGCCGGAACUGACGCUGAGGAGCGAAAGCGUGGGGAGCGAACAGG